AUAUAAAAGAGUGGGUUUGAGGGUUAAAAGUCAACCAAUGAAAAAGAGUUAUUUGGCCACGUCACUCAUUAGAAAAACCACAUCAGAAUAAAAAAAUUAAAUCUGUAUAUUGACUUAUUGAGUCACUGACGAUUCUCUUCUCCAGUUCUCUCCCUCUCGAUCCGUUCAGUUCUGCUUCUCCCUAAUUAAUAGCAUCCAUUUACAACUAUCUCUAUCUCUACCUGUUAAAUUUCCAAACCACUACAUGUCUCUCCAUAACUCUCUUUCUCCUACUCGGAAGUCACCUUAAAAUCGAAAGAAUCAGUGGAUGACUCAUUUACUGAGAAAAAGGCUACAAAUCACCAUAUACGCUCAUUCAAAGAAGUCCCAACGACGCUCUCCUACCGCAAAGCAGAGACACUCACGCUUCUCUUCGUACGACUAGCCAAAUUUACGGCGUUAUGUCCGGUUGUCCUGUUCUCAUCCAGACUUUCUGCAAGAGAUCCUCGCCGUUGCAGGAUCUCAUCGGAGCUACAACUCUCAUGGUAUUGCCAAAAAGAAGCUUAAAUGAUGACAUAAUUACAGAGAGGCUGGACUUGCUGGUGUUUGGAGUUCUCAGUGGAUUCCUUUCAUUUUUAGCAUCCAUUUAUCUUAUUGACAGUCAUAUCUCUUGGCAUGUAAACAUUUAUUCUUGGGAAAACAUCUCUCUUUUUGAAUGUUUGAUCAGUCUUUGGAUGGAUUGUCUUCUGCUACUGUAGCCCGUUGCUUUCUGUUCUUGAUAGGUAAGUUAUGUAUCAUUAAGAAAAAACUUAAACAUCUA